UGACCCUAAACCCAGUGAACAGAUCUGAUGAAGGCCUCUACCAGUGCAGCAUCAGCGGUCAGGGAGAGUCUCCAUCCAGCUGGAUCUGGGUCAAAGAGAAACCGUCAACCACAUCGUCCCCAUCAACUCCUCCUCCUCCUCCUCCUUCAUCCUCCACUCCACUGACCAUCACCUCCAUCUCUCCUCCUCCUGGUCCAUCUUUUCCCACCAUCACAGUCGUUGCUGCCAUUUUUAUCUCUCUGGUUUUGCUCUCAUUAAUUCUUCUGGUUCUUCUGGUGAGACGAUGUUUCUGCAGGAAACCUGAAGAUGAAGGGAAACAUGAAAAGGAAAUCACAUACAGUGAUCUGAAAACCUUCAGUAAUCAGCAGCAGCCAAUCAGAAGCAGCAGAGAUCCAGCUCUGGUUUACUCUGCAGUGAGAACUGGAGACGUCGACUAUGGUCAGAUAAUCAUCAGAGAGACCAGAGACCAGCAGAGGAGCAGAGAGUUGGAUCCGGGUCCAGUUUACUCUGCAGUGAGGACAGCAGGCAUCAGACCCAACAGAACCAGAGAACCAGAACCAGAACCAGAACCAGACGUGGUUUACUCUCCAGUCAGACGAUAACGGGUCCAUGAGCAUCAUGUCUGUUUACACUGUCAGUUAUUUUAAUUAGAGAGGAAUAUUAUUUUAAAUCACAUUGUAACUUUACAAAAUAUGAAGUUACAAUUUGAUUUGACAUGUUUUAUUUCUUUGUGGUCUUUAAAUAUCAUUUCUGGAACCCUGAGCUUCUGUUUCCAUCAUCAGUGUCAUAAUUAUUAUAUUUAUAUAUAAAAUCUGCCUCGUUGUUGUUAUAUUUGCUUUAAGGUUAAAUAAAGUUUGUUCCAGUCGA